GAGUGUGACAUUUGUAACUUCACUUCAGCCUCCAGUUGGCUGCUUUCUGCAAACAAUCAGACUGAUUGCGGGCUACAACUUCAUUUACAUGAGUGCCCUUGGUGGACAGCACCUAAGCAUGGAGACUUCAUGCAAGUUUCUGCCCAGGGUCACUAUCUAGUGAAACUGAAAGGUUUCCACAUGGAAGCACCUGACCGCCACCGCCCAGUUCAGUCUUUCAGCAACAGUUUCCUAGUAGCUCCUGGUAAUUGAGGGAAACUGACCAGGACCGCUCUUUGGCAUUCUCUGAAGACCAAGAAGCAAACAGGGAUAGAUGCCCUGCCUGGAAGGGGAAAAGACUCUUUUCUAUCCUUUCUGGUUAUACUCCCAGAACUCUACGUGUGACACAGUUGGAUGUGGCAGCUCAUCCAGGGCGAAUUCACACACGUUUCAGAGACCAUCAAGCUUCAGAUAAUCAAGCAACAAGGUUUCCAGCCAGCUCCAGGUGAAGGCACCACCCCACCGCCAUCAAGAAGCACCCUGUCUCCACUAGACAGAGUGGGCUGAGAGUUCCGGGAUCUCCAACAGUUGUAUAAAGACCAAAUGAUAUCUUCUUCCAAAAAGAAUGAGAAGCUGAUAGCUACUAAUGGAACAGAAGACUCAAGAAGAAAGUUGGAAGUGGAAGACACUAAUUAAAGGAGGAUCCAGUUUCACUUGCACUUAGAUGUAGAAAGCCACAAAAUAAUGUGGCUUUCACAUAAACAGGAACAAAGCUGGACAAUCAAUAAAAUCAUGAUUUGCCUUGAGCUCAGCAGCGAGCUAAGGUAGCAAGGCAAACAA